rnacentral:rRNA from 1 species
UUAAAGAGUUCUAUAACUCCCAAACCCAUGUGAACAUACCUAACGUUGCCUCGGCAGGUCGCACCUACCUUGUAGCACCCUACCCUGUAGGGCCUACCCGGGAGGUGCGGGUAAGCCUGCCGGCGGCCCACCAAACUCUGUUUGAUAUUGAAUUCUGAACCUAUAACUAAAUAAGUUAAAACUUUCAACAACGGAUCUCUUGGUUCUGGCAUCGAUGAAGAACGCAGCGAAAUGCGAUAAGUAAUGUGAAUUGCAGAAUUCAGUGAAUCAUCGAAUCUUUGAACGCAUAUUGCGCCCAUUAGUAUUCUAGUGGGCAGGACCGUUCGAGCGUCAUUUCAACCCUUAAGCCUUCGUUGCUUAGUGUUGGGAGCCUACGGCAACGUAGCUCCUCAAAGUUAGUGGCGGAGUUGGUUCACACUCUAGACGUAGUAAUUUUUUAUCUCGCCUAUUAGUUGGACUAAUCCCCUGCCGUAAAACCCCCAAUUUAUCAAGGUUGACCUCGAAUCGGUUCAGACAAACUCGCUAAAUUGAAGCAUCUUAGUCAGCGAAGGAAAAGAAACCAACAGGGAUUGCCCUAGUAACGGCGAGUGAAGCGGCAACAGCUCAAAUUUGAAAUCUGGCCCUCGGGUCCGAGUUGUAAUUUGUAGAGGAUGCUUUUGGCGCGGUGCCUUCCGAGUUCCCUGGAACGG